rnacentral:tRNA from 1 species
GCGGGCAUAGUUUAUUGGUAGAAUGGCUGCUUCCCAAGCAGCAGAGGGCGGUUCGAUUCCGCUUGCCCGCUCCA